rnacentral:tRNA from 1 species
GCGAUUGUGGCGGAAUUGGCAGACGCGCUAGAUUCAGGUUCUAGUGUGAGUAAUCACGUAGGGGUUCAAGUCCCCUCAGUCGCA